AGCACAUCCAAAAUGUAAUAUCUGCAAUGUGUCUUUUGACUAUUACUCUCCCCAUAUCAAGGAAUUUAACUGCC
rnacentral:tRNA from 2 species